rnacentral:rRNA from 1 species
GCAGUCGAACGCGAAAGUUUUCUUCGGAAAGCGAGUAGAGUGGCGCACGGGUGAGUAACACGUGGAUAACCUGCCCUAGAGUCUGGGAUAACACUUCGAAAGGGGUGCUAAUACCGGAUAAGCCCACGCCUUCUUCGGAAGAAGUGGGAAAAGAUUUAUUGCUCUAGGAUGGGUCCGCGGUCCAUUAGCUAGUUGGUGGGGUAAUGGCCUACCAAGGCUGCGAUGGAUAGCUGGUCUGAGAGGAUGACCAGCCACACUGGAACUGAGACACGGUCCAGACUCCUACGGGAGGCAGCAGUGGGAAAUUUUGCGCAAUGGGGGAAACCCUGACGCAGCAACGCCGCGUGAAGGAUGAAGGCCUUUGGGUCGUAAACUUCUGUCAGAGGGGAAGAAAUGCCCGCAAGGGCGCUGACGGUACCCUCAAAGGAAGCACCGGCUAACUCCGUGCCAGCAGCCGCGGUAAUACGGAGGGUGCAGGCGUUGUUCGGAAUUAUUGGGCGUAAAGAGCAUGUAGGCGGACUGUUAAGUCUGGUGUGAAAGCCCGGGGCUCAACCCCGGAAGUGCAUUGGAUACUGGCAGUCUUGAGUAUGGGAGAGGAAAGUGGAAUUCCGAGUGUAGGAGUGAAAUCCGUAGAUAUUCGGAGGAACACCAGUGGCGAAGGCGGCUUUUCUGGACCAAUACUGACGCUGAGAUGCGAAAGCGUGGGGAGCAAACAGGAUUAGAUACCCUGGUAGUCCAC